GGCACUAUAGCCAAGUGGUUAAGGCGAUAGAUUCGAAUUUAAAUUAAUCUAUUACUCUCUGAGUGCGCAGGUUCAAAUCCUGCUGGUGUCG